rnacentral:rRNA from 1 species
GACGAACGCUGGCGGCGUGCUUAACACAUGCAAGUCGAACGGGCCUGUCUUCUUUUUUGGGGGUGGGUUGAGUGGCGAACGGGUGAGUAUCACGUGAGUAACCUGCCCCUCGGUCCUGGAUAACCGCUUGAAAGGGCGGCUAGUACGGGGUGGUCCGGUUGGUCCGCAUGGGCUGGUCGGGAUAGAUUCACUGUUUUUGGUGUUUCGGCGGGGGAUGGGCUCGCGGCCUAUCAGCUUGUUGGUGGGGUGAUGGCCUACCAAGGCGGUGACGGGUAGCCGGCCUGAGAGGGUGGGCGGCCACACUGGGACUGAGGUACGGCCCAGACUCCUGCGGGAGGCAGCAGUGGGGGGUAUUGCACAAUGGGCGGAAGCCUGAUGCAGCGACGUCGCGUGAGGGAUGGAGGCCUUCGGGUUGUGAACCUCUGUUUUCGGUGGUGAAGGCCCUGUCCGUGUGGUGGGGUUGACGGUAGCCGGGGAUGAAGCGCCGGCUAACUACGUG